rnacentral:misc_RNA from 1 species
AAAAAAAUUAUAAAAAUAAAAUAAAAUAUAUAAACCUAUGAUAUUUUUUCUUUUUCUUUUUACUACUAACAAUCACUAUAAGCUAUAGAAUCCAAAGGAGAAGAACAUAAAUACUUCUUAAAAACAUAACUAAUAUCCAAAUUACUAUUCCCACGCCUAACAAUAGGAAAUUUAGAAAUAGAAAAUGAGCUCGAACCCGAUUUCGAGUUUGAGUUCAUUAACCCGGUGAGUGAACUUAGUUCAUGAGUUGACUCACUCGAUACAAUCAAAUUCACAUUCUUCAACAUAAACUCAUUCGCAACAAGUUGGUUGAACAAUGUUGACUCAGACACCAUGUUUCUCUUCUUAUGUUGUGUUAUAGCUCGAACGAUUUCCGUUAACAUUGCAUUAGCCAAUAGUCUCACUCCACGUGCACCACCGAGUACGAACCCCGAGUUAACGGAUUUUUUCUCGGAGCUCUUUUUUCGAGCAGGUAAUGUGGUCAGUAUAACGGACUCCGGACUACGAUUCUUGAGUUGGCUUAGUGAAUCACCAAGUACGAGAUAUUCCUUUAGGUCUACUAAAAGGACAUGUUUGUAAUUUCUCCGUACCCGACCCAAUAACAUCGGGUAACAAGCCCAUCUUCUUAAACUCAUCGGAACAUGAUCCAAGAACCCGGAUAACGAGUUCUCCGGGUCAAGUUCACCCGUAUCAAAACCCACCACCGAACCAUAACUCAACCGAGUUAGACUUAACUCGAUUGAGUUACCAAAAUCCUCAUAAACCCGAAUUUUCUUACCCCAAAUGGGUUCUCCACUUUCCUUCUCUUUCUUACUCGAAAUCACAAACUGGGUCGGGUCAAAAGUUGAAUUAACAAAUCGGGUCGGGUCAGAACUUGAGUUAUUAAUGUAUUUGUAGUAGCCAUUGAUGAGCUUCAAAAAGGAGUUGUUCUCUUCAACAAUGGCGUGAUCCAACGAGCUUGAUUUCGAUGAAAAUAGGAACAAUAUGUCUGAUUUAGAAGUGAUUCCGGAUCUGUGGAGUAAUCUGAGGAACAUUUUCAGUUCGACCUCCGUUACGGAUUCGAUUACAUGAGCUACGAUUAAGUCAUUCAUAGCCCUUGUUCCUCUUCGAUACAACGAACCCAUACCUUGCAAUGCAGGUGCGAAAAUCAAUUUCUCUUGGAAAUUAAGAAUUGGGGGUUUUCGUUUUUGAUUUAACGAAUUGUUGGGUUCAAAAGUUGAUAGAGUGAAGAGUAAAAGAGUGAUGAAAAUCAACAAUACACAAAUUGAAAUUGUGGAUUGUGCUUUUGAGAUGAGAUGAGAUGAAGUUGAACGAUUACGAAUUGCAUUAAUCGAUUUGAAUGAAAACGAAGGCAACAACGAAGACGAAGAAGAAGAAUUAGUGAAAGAGAAAUUGGGUUUUUU